rnacentral:rRNA from 1 species
CCAGCACCUGCGGUAAUUCCAGCUCCAAUAGCGUAUAUUAAAGUUGUUGCAGUUAAAAAGCUCGUAGUUGGAUUUCUGGCAGGAGCGACCGGUCUCACACUCUGUGUGAGAACUCGUGUUGUCUCUGGCCAUCCUUGGGGAGAUCCUGUUUGGCAUUAAGUUGUCGGGCAGGGGAUACCCAUCGUUUACUGUGAAAAAAUUAGAGUGUUUAAAGCAGGCUUAUGCCGUUGAAUAUAUUAGCAUGGAAUAAUAAUAUAGGACUUCGGUUCUAUUUUAUUGGUUCUGGACCGAAGUAAUGAUUAAUAGGGACAGUCGGGGGCAUUCGUACUCAACAGUCAGAGGUGAAAUUCUUGGAUUUGUUGGAGACGAACUACUGCGAAAGCAUUUGCCAAGGAUGUUUUCAUUGAUCAAGAACGAAAGU